rnacentral:rRNA from 1 species
AUUUGUCUGGUUAAUUCCGAUAACGAACGAGACCUUAACCUGCUAACUAGAUUCGAUUAUACUAUAUUCGAUAUCUUCUUAGAGGGACUAUGUAAUACAAAUACAUGGAAGUUUGAGGCAAUAACAGGUCAGUGAUGCCCUUAUAUGUCCUGGGCUGCACGCGUGCUACACUGAUGCAUACAACAAGUGCCUAACCAGACAUGGUACGGCAAUCUCGAAUAUGCAUCGUGAUGGGGAUAGAUCUUUGCAAUUAUAGAUCUUGAACGAGGAAUUCCUAGUAAGUGCAAGUCAUCAUCUUGCAUUGAUUAUGUCCCUGCCCUUUGUACACACCGCCCGUCGCUCCUACCGAUACCGGGUGAUCCGGUGAACCUUUUGGACCUGUAUGGGGAAGAUAAGUAAACCAUAUCACCUAGAGGAAGGAGAAGUCGUAACAAGGUUUCCGUAGGUGAACCUGCRGAAGGAUCA